CCCGCCCGUCACAUCACGAAAGUGGGUUGUACUANAAGCGCCAGAGCUAACCCGCAAGGGAGGCAUGUGUAACGGUAUGAUCCAUGAUUGGGGUG
rnacentral:rRNA from 1 species